CAUGCAAGUCGAACGAACGGAGGAAGAGCUUGCUCUUCCAAAGUUAGUGGCGGACGGGUGAGUAACACGUGGGCAACCUGCCUGUAAGUUGGGGAUAACUCCGGGAAACCGGGGCUAAUACCGAAUGAUAAAGUGUGGCGCAUGCCACGCUUUUGAAAGAUGGUUUCGGCUAUCGCUUACAGAUGGGCCCGCGGUGCAUUAGCUAGUUGGUAGGGUAAUGGCCUACCAAGGCAACGAUGCAUAGCCGACCUGAGAGGGUGAUCGGCCACACUGGGACUGAGACACGGCCCAGACUCCUACGGGAGGCAGCAGUAGGGAAUCUUCCGCAAUGGACGAAAGUCUGACGGAGCAACGCCGCGUGUAUGAAGAAGGUUUUCGGAUCGUAAAGUACUGUUGUUAGAGAAGAACAAGGAUAAGAGUAACUGCUUGUCCCUUGACGGUAUCUAACCAGAAAGCCACGGCUAACUACGUGCCAGCAGCCGCGGUAAUACGUAGGUGGCAAGCGUUGUCCGGAUUUAUUGGGCGUAAAGCGCGCGCAGGCGGUCUUUUAAGUCUGAUGUGAAAGCCCCCGGCUUAACCGGGGAGGGUCAUUGGAAACUGGAAGA
rnacentral:rRNA from 1 species